rnacentral:lncRNA from 1 species
GACAUCAGAAGCCCUGGGGUAAUGUAAGCAUGUUCUGAAUACUAGAUCCUAAGACUAAAGGGAGCUGAAAAUCAGCUAGAUAAUUCCAUCUGAAAUGAAUAUUUCUUAGAGUCAGGGAGGCAGCCUUUUUUUUUUUCCUUUGGGCAUUGCAAGGAAGUGCUUAUGAAACAGGAAGCCCAGUGUCCUAGGCUUGGUGGUAGUCAGGCUCAUGUUACCCUAGGAAGGAUAUCUGCCCUGCCACCAGGGGGUCCUUGUACUCCAGGAAGAACUGACCAGAACAAGUGCCGCAUUCAGCUCUGAGAAUAAACACCAAAACACAAGACCAGGCUGUAGACGCAAGAGUAGUUCAAGUGGAAAAAGAGAGCUCAUCCUCUUCUGGGACAGUGAAAAUGCUCUGACCUUAAAAGGAAUAUUGGAGGCAGGAGGAAACAGAGGAAGCAAGAAGAAUUUCCUGGAAGGUAAUUAUUGUAAUAUAAGCAUACUUCGGAGAUAUUGCAGGUUCCGUUCCAGACCACUGCAACAGUGAAUAUCUCAAUCAACAUCUUCACCAGGAGUAGAUUUUAUCUUAAGAAGCCACUUUCUUUGCUCAUCCAGAAGCUACAACUCCUCAUCAUGAGAUUUCAGCAGUUCAGUUCCAUCUUCAGGCCCUAUUUUUAGUUCUCUUUAGUUCUCUUGCUAUUUCCACGACAUCUGCAAUGACUUCCUCAACUGAAGUCUUGAACCCCUCAAAGUAAUCCAU